GGUGCACCCUGUUAGAGCCCAUCACCAAUGUUGGUGCCCGGGUGUAGAAAGUGUGCUAAAGUGAACCGGCCGGGUUUUCGCUAACACCAUGAGGACUUCCUGUCUCAUGACUGGGGUUUGAUAGUGACCUGAGCCACACGU
rnacentral:snoRNA from 1 species